rnacentral:rRNA from 1 species
AAAAACAUAGCCUUAAGAAGAUAUUUAAGGUAAGCCCUGCCCGGUGAAAAUUUUUUAACGGCCGCAGUACCCUGACUGUGCUAAGGUAGCGUAAUCAGUUGGCUUUUAAAUGGAGUCGAGAAUGAAUGGGUAAAUGGGAAAAAGCUGUCUCAUUAAUAUAUUUUGAAUUUCCUAAGAAGAUGAAAAUUUCUUCGAUUAAAAAAAAGACGAGAAGACCCUUAGAGUUUUCAUAAAAAUGAUUUGACCAUUACUUUUUUGUUGGGGCGACAUAGAGACAUCUAACUUUCUUAAUAAUUUGUGACAAGCCGGCGCUUAGCAAGUAAGAAUAAACUACCUUAGGGAUAACAGCAUUAUUUUUUAUAAAGCUUGUGACCUCGAUGUUGGACUAGGGACUAAGAGACUAGCCGUCAACUUAGCAUGUUCUGUUCGAACAUAAAACCCUACAUGAUCUGAG